GUGGUUUCCUGGUCUCAAGUAAUGCACAUGCAAUUGGAGAGGAAACAGAACUACAUGAAAGCACCUACUCAAAUAACGGUUUUAUUGAGACUGCCUCUUUGCUUGAGCAGGAAAUGAAUCCUGGACCCUCUAGUCAAUCAGGAUUGAGAUUUAUUAGUGGAAUCAUUAACAAAGACAAACUUCUUAGAUUUGAAAGAAUGUUAUUUCGUACAACAAGAGGCAAUAUGCUUUUCAACCAAACACCCUCUGAUGAGGAGAUCAUGGAUCCUUCAACAUCAGAAAUGGUGGAGAAAAUUGUAUUUGUGGUAUUCUUUUCUGGGGAACAAGCAAGGACGAAAAUAUUGAAAAUAUGUGAAGCAUUUGGUGCAAAUUGCUAUCCUGUCCCUGAGGAUACGACAAAGCA